rnacentral:lncRNA from 1 species
AUUAAUUGUGAAGGGUUUACACAAGUACAUAGGUUCAACCUCUCAUUUAGUGAGUACUAGUGAAUGAUUUAGUACAAAUGACAUUCGGAAAUAUUGUGAGAGAAUGAUCUCUAUUUAUAGAAAAGAGUUUCUAGUUUCAUUCUGACAUUGACACGUAUCGUGUUGUGAUUGGCAUCUGAUGUCGACACAUGUCGCGUUAUGAUUGGCCUCUGAUGUUGACAUGUGUCGUGUUGUGAUUGGCCUCCUGGUUGGAGGGAGACUCUUGUGGGUCCUUGGCGGUAUAAUGUUGACCGAUGCUUAGUAGUUUCGCGGUUGGUCAAGUAUGGUAUAAACAGUGCUCCCCUAAGUUCCCGAGUGAGGGAAGCUUCUCGGUUGGGGACUUGCAAGAUCCAAGCCAUUGAGUAAUCACGAAAUUUCUAAGUACUGAAGUAUGGUAUCGUUUUUACUUGCCUUAUCUGUCUCAUAGGUAGAUGUGACAUCUUCUCUUGAAGUACUUUUCCUCCAUCCAGGAAUGGUAUCUCUAACCGGUGGAGAUGCACAAGGUAAUGUAUCAAUUUCACUUGAAGCUUACUUGUAGUUUCGGGCUUGGUUAAGCGCAAUACAAACCCUAUAGUGGAAGUCCCUCAAGUCUCUGAGUGAGAAGGUCUGCCGAAGAAGGUAACAGACAAGGUAAGCAAUUAGACUUCCAAGCAAGCAACCUGGAUCGGAGGUUCGACUUCGGCAUCCGCUUGAUUGUUCUCCUUCUCUUUGUGUCGUAAACAACAACAAGGAUAAGGAGAAGCAAAUGGGGAAGAAAUGAUAUGAGAUACUUUUGCUUUUGAAGAAGCAACUUUCCAUAGGCUUAUUCUUGAACUGGGCUUGAGGGUUUUCUGGUUUCCUCCAGAGUAUAAGGCCGAUUCAAGAAUUUAAGGGUCAAAAUAAGUCCCUCAAAUCUAGAGUACGUUCGACCCUAAUGAUAUGGGAUACUUUUGUUGUUGACAAAGUAGUAGGUGUGGUAUGGCGAGGCUUUGCUCUUUGGUGAUGGUGUCAGCGAAAGGUUGUUGAAGCUUCUCGAGUUCUUCGGUAGGGCAGCGAUGCUGGGUUUGGAUUUAAUUUAGACUCAUCUGUCUGGGUUGUAGGGUUCUGCAGGAAGGGCAUUGUUCUGUAGUGAUCUGUUCCAACUCAUCAUUGAUCCUUCUGCUUCAAUCUUUUACAACAUUUGUCCCUGAUGCAGGAGUGGAAUGCAACAUUUGCAUUUAAAUGGUUAUUCAGAGCACUACUUCUCAGCGACUCAUCCAUGCGUGGCAGCUUCAGUGUAAAGCGUCAAUAUCAUAUCAACUGUUCUGAGGUAUUUGCCGAAGGACUUUAUGACCUUAACAACAGUUGAGGAUGAGUACUCGAGAGCAAUGUUAGGCAAACAACCAUGCAAAGAUUUCGGGCAAUCAGUUCCAUAUCGAAAGUUUGAUUUCAGGUUUCGACUGAUUGCAUUUUUUCUCCUUGUCCUACAGGUAAGAGCAAGGGCAAAGGAAAAGACAGGGAAAAAUCAUGAUAUGGGAUACUUUCUCUUUUAACCCUGAUGAUAUGAGAUACUCUUGCUCUGGUGUAGCUUGUUUACAUAGGUAUUAUCGGGAGGGGGGGAGGGAAGAAGCUAAGUAUUUCAAGAGACUCUGCUGGGAAUGCCUUCUCGGACGUGAAUAAAAGUUGAGCAUUUUUUUUUUAUUUGUAGGUAUGCCUGGUUGUGGAGGAUGAAGGUCGACAUAUAGGAAUUGUUUCAACAACGGGUAGUAAUGCUGUUCCUCUACCCUUCUCGAUCAUAACAAUGUAGUCGGAGCUGUAACAUUCACGUGUUUUAACUUUGUCAGAGCACUUUGAAAAAGUGGUUUGUGGUAUCUGGAAAGCUGAUGUUGCGUGUGAAGAUUGCAUACAAGCUUUAUUCAAGGAAAUCUGGCUCUCAAAGUUUAGAAAGCGAUGCCUCUUCGAUUUUCGAACAAGCAAUCCUGUUGGGGAUUUGGCUAUCAAGAUUCGGAGAGCGUUGCCUCUUCGAUUUUUGAGAAAGCAAUCCUGGUAGGAGUUUGGCUCUCGAGAUUCGGAGAGUGGUGCCUCUUCGAUUUUGAGAAAGCAAUCCUGGUAGGAGUCUGGCUCUCGAGAUUCGGAGAGCGGUGUCUCUUCGGUUUUUGAGAAAGCGAUCCUGGUGGGAGUCUGGCUCUCGAGAUUCAAAGAGUGGUGCCUCUUCAAUUUUUGAGCAAGUAAUCCUGUUAGGAGUGUUUUCUUGAUAUGAGUAAAGGUUAGGCAUUUUUGCCAGUUCUGCCUUGCCACGGAGCACAAAAGCUGACACACAUAAGGACUUUCCAGAUACCAAGCAGUGGUGUUGUUCCUUUACCCUUGUGGGUAAUGGUAGGGUAGCUGAACUUUCAAAAUUUAUGUGUCUAAAUUUUGUCAGAGAUCUUUGGCAAAGUUAUUUGUGGUGCCCGAUGAACUGAUGUUGCGUGUGGGGAUUGUCGACAUAUUUUACUCAGGAAAAUCUACUUCUCGAAAUCCAGAGAGUGGUGCCUCUUCGAUUUUUGAACCAACGACCCUAUUGCCAUUUCUUUUAUAGGGGCACCAAUUAUGUGCAAGAAGUACGUUCAGAGAGUUAUUGCUUGCAGGAAUUUUCCCCUUAUUUUUGUACUUCAGAGAUUUAUUGCACCUCAUUUCUUCUUCAUAAUUUAUGAGAAUGUCUGGCCAAUCAUACCGUUGUUUUGACUUGAACUUUGGUGAAGAGGCAGCCAUGCAUUCUCAAGACAACAUAUGGCACCCAUCCUUCUUAUCCCCUAUUGGUCCUCUUACCGUUGGAGACUAUGUGAUGAAGAAUGAUAUGACCACUGCGGUGGUGGCCAUGAACCUUCUCACUCCUAAAGAUAACAGACUACUUUCCAAACGGUCUGAUGAGUUGGCUGUUAAGGAUUCUCUGGCUCUCAGUGUUCAGUGUGCAGGUUUUGUGUCUAAUAUGGCUCAACGCCUAUUUGCUCGAACUCGCCAAGUUGAAUCAUUGGUGGUUGAAGUGAUAAGUCUUAAACAUGAGAUCAGAGGGCUCAAGCAUGAGAAUAAACAGCUGCACAGGCUUGCACAUGACUAUGCUACAAACAUGAAGAGGAAGCUCGACCAGCUGCAGGAAUCUGAUGGUCAGAUUUUACUUGAUCAUUAGAGGUUUGUGGGUUUGUUCCAAAGACAUUUAUUUCCUUCGUCUUCUGGGGCUGUACCGCGUACUGGAAGCUCUAAAUGAUCAACCUUUUGUGCCUUCUUCUUCUGGGGUUCUGCCCAGUACUGAGGCUCCGAAUGAUUACCCUCCGGUGCCUCCUCUUCCUGGGGCUCUGCCGACUGUUGAGACUUCUCCUGAGCAACCUUUGUGAAUGCUCCUUCUUGUUUGUUUAUUUUGAUUCAUGUACAUGUACAUAUUUGUAACUUAUCAGAGAUAUUAAUAAAUAAUAUUUACUUCAUUUCAACGUAUUGUGUUAAAUAUACCAAGGUUUCCUUCACUAAGUUGUUUGAAUUUUUUUUCUUUUGUUGAAGCUUGUAUUUUGAAGCUUUGUGAGUGAAGCAUGUAGGUUGAGGUAAUGCUCCCUUAAUUUCCCGAGUAAGGAAAACUUCUCGGUUGGAGACUUGAAAAAUCCAAGUCACUAAGUGGUCGUGAGACUUCCGAGUAUCAAGGUGCAGUAGCAUAUGGUAAGAUUCCCCCAAGUCUUCGGUCGAGGGAGUUGACGAAUGAGGUGUCUUGCUAGUAGCCAAGUUUCCAAUGUAACAAAACUUCACCAUUUUCCUUUCUAAGUGGUAGCCCAAAACUCAUCCUUCAUAUACCUGCAUUGAAUAAUGAUUUUUGUUCCUUGGUAUGUAUAAGGAACAACUCAAGGAGGUCGGGGGACCUUCAAUACCCAAUUGGAAGGAACAUCGUUGUUCCUUUGAUGCUUCUGGGAAAUGCAUUAUUGAAAAUUCUAGUGCAUUUUCAAAGCAUGUAGCGGCAGAAGUUAGAGAUUGUAGAAAUAUGCCAUUAAUGCUUGAUUACAAAAAAAGCCAAGUCCAAAUAUCAUUGAAAAAAAUAUAAUUGUCAUGCAUGUCGGAUUACAAAAAAAGCCAAGUCUAUCAAAAACUAUAUUUAUUCAUAGGUGCUGCACAUCAGCUGUGCUUGACCAAAAGUUAAAAGCAACAACAUGCUUGAAUAAUGGUACAACUAUCUACAGAAAAGUAUACCCCUGUCUCCCAUCUUGGAAGGAUUUGAUUUGUCAUGAAUCCACUGUACGAGCCUAAGAGAGGACUAAUCACUAGUCUUUUGCAUGAAUUUGGAUGCAUGUGUGGAACAAAAUAAUAAUAAUAAUAAAAUAAAUAAAGAUGCAUAAAGCUGCACAUCAAAACUAAAGGGAUAAAAAAAUCCCACCAUUUUGUACGAAGAUAUCAGGCAAGCUUCCAAAGCAAAGAGUUUCCACCAAAAGACACCUACAACAAAUCAAGAAUAAAAAAUAUACAUCGAAUGAAGUUGCGGAAUGAGCAUUCAAAAUACAAGCAGAAUGAAAAAGUAUGAAGCCUUACUAACCGUUCUGUUCUUCUCUCCAAAAAAAUAACGAAUAGUAAAAGAUUGCACGGAGAAGCUCGUGGGGAAAAACUGAUCAAAAGAAGUUCAAAAAGGGUUUGGAACUUAUCUAAAACCACUAAAAUGGGGGAAUUCGAAUUCUUUUCUCUGUUAGCCACCUAGCAUGAGAUAAACCCCUAAAUAAAAAAAUAAUAAAAUAAAAUAAAAUAAAGAGAAGUUUGCAACCAACAAACUUCUGAAAAGAAAAGAUGCUGCCCACGUAAAGAGUUUAGACUUGGAAAUCCAAGUUAUACAAGGCAUGCAUAUAAUGUCCCCCAUCAAAUUAAAUUCUUUUGCAAACAAUUUGCCAUGCCAAGACGAGACGACUUCACUUUCGGUCAGAGAGAAGUAACGUGGAACAAGGACUUCCUAUUUUUUUUGCAAAACGUGGAUGGUUUCCUGCAAGACGUGGGAGGUUACACGGUUAGUGGGAGAAGGUGGCGAAAGUUAUGGCCUCUAUCUCCCCCAAGUAAAAGCUCAUGAGGCUUCCUAUGAUGCCUAUAAAUAGGCAUCAGUCGCAGUAGAAGAGGGAAAAAAACAAAAGAAAAAGGAGGAUGAGAUUCUGCAGAAAUUAAAAGAGAAAUCAAAGGAGUGAAGUGUUGCGGAAGUUCAAGGAGACAUUGAGAGAAGAAGACAACGAAGAAAAAAAUAGAGAAACGGAACAAAGAAAGCAACAAGCAUUCAAAGCACUCAAAGGUAUAAAAUCAUUUGUUUUUUUUUCUGUUAUUUUUCUUGGUUGUUCCUCUCCACUUUGCAGAAAAAGGGGAAGCAUUGUGCUUCUUCAAAUCUCUCCCAUUCCCUGAAGCACAAAUAGAGGUAGGGGUUCUAAAGAAAGCUAGCCCAAAUCCUUUCCUAAUCUCCCGCUCUCCUGCAAGAGAUUGCCGAACACCAUCGCUUCAACAACACCAACGGUCGUAGCAGCCAUGCCGUCCUCCAGCCUAGCGUUACAACGUGCUCCAUUUUUCUCACCGACGGCGUAAAAAAAAAGGUCAUAAACAAAGUCCUCCGCCGUGAGAACAACAGCCACGAGAGCUGCCGAAGUUGAAACAGUUGUUGCUGCCCUGUUUUAGGAGCUCAGUUCGAAGUUAAAAUGGUUACUGCUGUAGUGGCGGAUCCAGGAAAUAAUGUUAGGGGGUCAAUAAGGAUAGCGCGCAGCGCGCAAUUUUUUUUUAAUAGAAACGGCAUGCAUAUCGUCAUUUCAUCGAGUCUUGGUAGGAUAGCGCAACCAGCUACUCCAAAAUCCUUGUUCAAAGGUCCUGAACGUUCAAACCUGGAGGAAGAGAUUGCUUCAACUUGUCGGCCUUCUCGAAAUCAAACACACAAAGUGUGUAAAGGUACUUGGAGCACCGAACCUUGAACUUGACAGCAUCCUUGGUCCUCUUGAUUUUGACAUUGCGGGCAUCAUUCCUUUUUGCAGUUAGAAGGAAAUCCUUGAUCUCAUGGAUCUGCUUCGGCAUUUUGCUUGUUGCUUGGUCAAGACCGAAGGCUGCGAGUUCUCUUUCAAAGUUUGAGGAGGCUAUCAACGCGCCAGCAGCCUCCUUCUUCUUUAACCUGCAAGCGAACUCUUUCUUCUUCUUUCAGACAUUUCGUCGACCACGUGGUGUGCAGCUCCAAGAGGUCGCACCAGCAGCUCCAAGGUUAUUUUCAUGGCUUCCAAGGGGUCGUGUGACCCCAUUGACCCCACUGUGGAUCCACCCCUCAUGCUGCUCCGUUUUAGGAGCUUAGUUAGAAGAAUUUGGCGGUUGCUGCUGCUCCGUUUUAGGAGCUCAUUUCAAAGGAUUUAGCAUACUGCUUCAUUUUAGAAGCUCAUUUGGAAAAUUCGAAUGCUGCUCCAUUUUAAGAGCUCAUUGGGAAACUUCAAAUCAAAAGCAGAGGAAUACGACUCGAAGAAUUUGGCACAAAGUUAGAAGAAAGUCACACCAAAAAAAGAGAAUGAUGCUUCCAGCCAAAAGAAAAACAACAAAGAAACCGUCGCAGCCGUCGAGUGAAGAAGAAAAAAAAGGUUGCUGACGAAAGAAGAAGAAGAAGAAUUGCACUAAAGCCUUGCACCAGAAACAAGAAAGAAAGAUCUCCAGGUCAGUCGACGGGUCGUGGUCGUCUCCAAAAGCCCCUGGUGUUCUUCCUAGAAAUGGAACGCGAAGAAAGCAUAACGGAAUGGGCGAUGGUUGUCACUAACCAAGUUUCAUCCAAAUUCUUAAAAAUAAUCUUUAGCAAGAAAGAAGGAUUCGUGACUUUAAUUGAAGAUUAGUUUGCCCCUGCGAAGACAAAUCCAUGCAGGAUGCAGUAAAACUCAAAAAAAGGGGAAAAAGUACUUGUUUUUUUUAAAAAAAAAAAAUAGCUUAGUGCAUGGCACCUCAAAAAUAAACAAGCAACGGCAGUUAAAAAAAAGCUUAGUGCAUGGCACCUUAUACCUCAAAAAUAAACAAGCAACGGCAGUUAAAAAAAGCUUAGUGCAUGGCACCUCAAAAAUAAACAAGCAACCACAGAUGAAUAUAUGUCAUUAUCUUCAGUCUUCAGUGUACCGUUUAUUUGAAAUAAGAGUUAAAACUCUCAAAAAAGAGCAGGCUCAAGAUCCCUCAGAAGUGUUCAACCAACCAAAAAUAAAAGGCUGUCUAAAUGCCUUUUUAGUCCAUAAGGUAUGAAUCCCACCUUCUACUCAAGGAAAGGACAAAGUCCUAUUUACUUUGUACUGCGCAUCCCACGUGGGUUACUACUUGAAGAAAAAAGUGAAGUCCCAUUUCACAAAGAUCUAUUGGAUAUUACCAAAGGUCAUGUAUGGGUUUCAAACAAAUCCAAUUGACUACUCAUUUUGCCAAGACUGAACACAAUUAGGCAAAUCCAAAUAAAAAAUUACGAACUAUGCCGGUUUGAUUCCCUUAAGGAUACGUAGGCAGUCUGAUAUUAAAUUUUAGACGCAACCAAGAAAUCAAGGCGAAUCCCUGGUUUAUUUAAACUAAAUUCACUUCUGCUGCUUUGAACAGAACCCUUGUAGGAUAAAUCCCGUGAAGGAACAGAGGAAAUAUUUUUUUAUUCCAAGCAUGAUUCUCUACAAAUUUGUUGGAAGAAAGAAGUUGCAAAGGAAAAGUAAAAUUAAACAUGGAGUAAGAAAUGGUACCAAGCUAGAGUCAAAUGCCAAAAUAUUAGUGGGUUUAUUAGAAAUAAAUCCGUUAAUUUUACUCUACAGUUAAACGGCACAAAACCACUUUAAAUAGGACAAAGCUGUCUCAAAUGGCUAAAAGCCGAUUCAAUGGCAUGAAGCCGUAUUAAAAUCUGAUGGCACGAAGCUGCGACAAAACCCAAUGGCCCGAAGUCGUAUCAAAUAUCAAAUGGCAUGAAGCCACAACAAAAUCUCAAGUGGCAUGAAGCUAUGUUAACUGGCACAAAGCCGUAUCAAAUUUCAGAAUGGCAUAAAACCAUAUCAAACUUAUAAAUCACUCCAAUGGGUUAAAGUCCUCACCUGCAGGAGUUUAAAAUGCACAAGGCAUCAAUCACUCCAAUGGCUUAAAGUCCUUGCCUGUACGAGUUUAAACUGCACAAGGCACAAGUUUAAACUGCACAAUGCAUCAAUCGCUCCAAUGGCUUAAAGUCCUCGCCUGCAAGAGCCUAAACUGCACAAGGCAUUAAACGCUUCAAUGGCGCAAAGUCCUCACCCGCAUGAGCUAAAACUGUACAAGGCAUCAAAUCCAAACAAGUAUCAAUCAUACAAGGAACUACGAGUGACUUGAUCCCUCAACAAGGGUACGUAAGCAAUCUAGGGUUCUACCUAGAUGCAGUCACAAAAUCAAAUAAACACCCAAAUCCUCAAGUUACGAUUUAUUCAUAUUAGAAUCAAAGGGUAUUCCUUUCCCAAAAGAAAGGUUGUAAUUAAUAGGCGUGUAGCCUAGAAUGGGUCGAAUUCAAACUAAUAAAACCCUCUUCGAAAAAAUGAAUGAGGGUGAGAUUGUGUCGGGGGAAUAUUUUGUUUACAUAUUAUGUACAAUUUUUGCUCAACAACUAGUGAUUGGUGAGUGAUUGGCGUAAGAUCAAAGAAGAUGGCAGGGAAGCUUUUUGGAAAAGAAUAAAGGUAUAAAUUUUUUUUGUUACUUGAAGAGUGUAAAAUAAGUCAAUAUUUAUAGUAAUUGUUAAUUUGUUUGAAUUUUAUGAUGAGUGUAGGAAACUAUUAUUUUUUAAGAAGAAGAUAUUCCAAAAAUGCCAAUGAUCCGUCAUAUGACACUUCAUAUUGCAGAGCAUGCACAUAAAGAAUAUAGAAAUAAAUUAAAAAAAAAAUUUAUACUGAUAAACCAGUUGAGGAGCAACGGAAGACUCCUUCUAAUGUGGAUCCACAACAAUGGGUUGAAUUGGUGACACAUUGGAAUAAGGAAAAAACAAAGGUAAAUGUUUUAAAAUUUUUUUUCAAGAGAUUGCUUCAAAGAAUUUGGUGGCACAAAAAUUUGUUUAAUAAAUUUGUUUUUUUUCUUCAGGAGAUUGCCUAAAAAAAUAAGCAUAAUCGACGACUGAAAACAAUGAAUCACACAACGGGUGCAAAAUCUUAUGCAAGAAUACGGGCAGACCUUGUAAGGUUUGUACAUUUCGAAGAAUUAUAGAUAAUUUUAAAUUUAGUAUAUAAUUGGUAGAAAUUUAUUUUUAAUUUGAUGGUUGCUGAAAAUUGGUUUUUUUUUUUAUUGACUUGUAAUUAUAGCGGAAAAAGCAUGGGAGGGAGGUGGAUCCUGUUUCGUUUUUUCGUUACUGUCAUACUCGAAAGGAUAACUCUUGGAUUGAUAAAACAUUUGAGUUUACUGGGGUAAUUGUUUUUUUUUUUUUUUGUGGCAGUAUAUUAUUGUUAUUAUCUGUAGUUGAAUUUUUAUUUUUAAAAUUUUAAUGCAAGGCAACUAUGGAGGAGCAUAUUCAAACUAUGAUUGAGUCUGGGCAAGAGAAUAAUGAUGUCCUUAAGACCCGGGUUUAUGUAGAGACUAUGGGUUUUGAUCGUCACAAUAGAGUACGAGGGUAUGGACAUGGUGUGACUCCGGAUAUGGUGUCGUAUGCAUCUUAUUCAGCUUCUAGUUCUAAUUCUUCUAGAAGAUCAUCCAGGAGUUCAGUGGUAGUGUUGUUGAUUGAGAAUAAUGAAUUGAGAAGGAAGGAAGAAGUUAAUGCUAAACGAGUGGCAAAGCUAGAGCUUAAGAUUGAAGAAACACGCAGCCAGCAACUAGUAAACAAUCAGUUGUUUGUGGCGUUUUUGCAAAAUUUCAGCCGCCACCACCCUAUAGCCUGGGAACCCAUCAGUCAGGCCAAAGUCAGCCUCCUCCAUAUUCAUGCCCACAAUGAACCUAACAGUUAGCUCAAAGUCAGCCUCUUGUUGCACCUGUAUAUCCGUAUACAUGCUAUUAUCAGCAACCUCCUUCACAUUCGAUGUAUCUGACAUAGCCCAUGCCAUAUAUGCAGUAGCCACCCAUGCCAUACAUGCAGCAGCCACCCAUGCCAUACAUGCAGCAGCCGCCAUAUGAAAUGCCUGCAUAUCGACUUAAGAUGCCUUUUUCUGAUGAUGUUCCAAUUGGAGGGUUUUCUGGAAUGCUCGCAUGUGCUCCUUUAGAUGUUGGCAUGGGGAGGGUUUUUGGAUCAUAAGGAGGAUCUGAAGAAGGAUCCAGGCAAGGAACUGGGUCACAUUCGGGCUCUGCUUCUGCUGAGUAGUUUAUGUGAUUCGCUUUCUUGUCGAAUAUGUAUGACAAUUGUGCUAGCAUUUGUAGUUUUUUUUUUUUUUUUUGUAUGUUGAAUUUGUAAUGUCAGAUUUAUUGUUUGUUAUGACGGAUAAGUUUUUGUACGUUAUGUGCAAUAUAAAAUAUUUUUUAUAGUUUUGGUUAAUCGUAGCCUUGAUUUAUAAAUGAAAUAUAGUUGAAAUUAUUUUCUUAUAGUUUGGUGUAUUUGUUAAUAACUGAAAAUUGAGGGAGAGCGGUAAUUUUUAUUAUUUUUAAUAUAUGUGGGUGGUGUCGCUUUAUGGACGACAGUACCUAGAGUAUUUUAUUUAUUUACCUUACAUAAUGUCGGUUUAGACCGACACUAAGUGUGAUUUUUAAUUAUUUAUUUAUUAGGUAAUGUCGGUUUUAACCGACAUAAUGUUCCAUGUUAAUGUCGCUUUUAGCGACGCUGCAGUUUAUUUUAAUUUUAUAUUACCUGUCUUCUUGGUGGCGGAAUAAGGGGGUCUAAGCGACGUCAUUACCCUUUUGUGACGGUAGUAUUGGUGUCGGUUUCUAUAUCCAACAUUGCACGAUUUAAUGUCGGAUUUUUGCCAUAUAUCCGACAUUAACUGGUGUUUCUUGUCAGUUUUAAAGCACCAGUGAUGUCCCCUUUUGCAGUAGUGAUCGUGCAGUCAUAAAUCAUUGUAAAUUUUUUUAUUUAAAAUUGAAUAUAAAUAGGAUCUAACGAAAACUGACCGCACGAUGACUGAACGUGAUUGGAGAAUCCCCAAGAUCCUCACAAAGAGGAUCCGGAGAGGAUCUGGAGAGGAUCCUCAUUCUUUUAUAAUAGUCCUACCAAACAAGAAUUCAAAGUUUAAGACUAGAAAAUUGUUUUUGAGUUUAAAAAGUUGAAUUUAAGUUAAAUAUCAAACAGCCCUAAGUUUUUUUCAUAACACCUUUAGAUUCAAUUUACAUCUUUCCAUAUAGACAUAUAGAGGAUCCCCAUUUUUUUUUUAAUAGGGAUUAGUUGUGGGGCCAUCACCACAUUGAAUUUCAAUAAUUUGAGCUGUCUAUUUUUCAAGUUGCACUUCUUACAUCAUUCUUGCAAAAUAUUAACCAAAUCGGAAAUAUUUGAAACAUCUAAUUGGGUUCACUGAAAUUAAUGAACACUUUAUUCUAUAAGAAACAAUGAAAUUUCAAAGAGAUCCUCUCCUGAUCUCUCCCACCAAAUCCUAGGUAUCCAAAGAUCUGGGUCCUUGAAAUUUGAUCCAACGGUUACAAACAGGGGGUCUCUUUAAAAGUUAUAAUAAUUGUAGCCGUUGGAUCAAAUUUCAAGGGUCCGGAUCUCUGGAUCCCUAAGAUUUGGAGGGAGAGAUCAUGAGGGAUUUCUUCCCAGCUUUUCAUUUUUUUGGUCUGAGUACGAGUGAGAGCUUUAGAGAGGAGAAGAAAUCUUUUAGUGUUCCUGGAACACGGACACAUACGCUAUAUAUUAUUAUACAAUUGGAGAGAUACUUGAAAAAUAAAAUAUCUCCACUUAUAUAAUGGCAUAUGACAUACUAUCUCGUACUCAAGGCACAUUGAAAAAUCUCUUGGAGAGGUCAUCAAUGUAGUCAGUAGGUUCAUUCAAUAAAAUAUUUAAUAUAAUUAGGUAGCUAAUUACAUCGGUAUCAUAGUUAAUGAUAAAAUUGAAUUGUCAAUAUAAUCCGAGAUUGAUCAUGUUGAUUGUUAAGCGGAUCUAUCUAUGAUGUGAAUUGUUACAUCAUGUGAUGUUAAAUAUGUCAAAUAUCAUAAAACGAUACAAAUACAACACGAUCUGUUAAGAUAUCGGGUAUGUCACAAAAAUAACACAAACACGCAAACACGACGUGAUCGCCGAGUCUAAUUUCGGGCUCAUGCUUAUUUCCAUUGUUAAUUACCUACCCAAUAGAUAGUUUUAUUUUCAUGGUCAAUAUUUAUUUGGAUAGUUUUAUUGUCAUCAAGAAUUCCAAAUUUCAAAUUCAUAAAACAAACAUAAACUUAGGAAUUUUCAAUUAAAUUACAAAUUUAAUCAAAGAUAAAAUAGUCAUGCAAAUAAGAAAUAAAUGCAAAUUUAGGGUUUAAAUCAAAACCACAUAAAUGUUGGAUUAAAUAAAAAAAUAACCAUGUUAACUGGGUCCAAAUUAAAAGAGUUGGAGCACUUUCCGUCUUUAAUUAAUUUUAAAAUAAACUUUUAAACAUCCUUCAAAUUAUAAUACUCCCUCUUUGAACACCUAUCUUGCAAAAUAUGCUUCAUCAUUUUCUAAACACAAUUACGAGAUGAGACUUGUGGACUCUUUGAAUCUCUAUCUUUCCAUGAAAUAAAUAAAUCAUAUUUCCAGUAUGUUAGGCAUGGCAUCCUUUAUUUAUUUGCAAAUUGCAUUACUUAUUUAAGACUUCAUCUUAGUUUAAGCAUUUACAUUGCGUAGGUUAGGCAUUUCAUCCUUUAUUUAUUUGCAAAUUGCAUUACUUGUUUAAGACUUCAUCUUAGUUUAAGCAUAUACUUACCCUUCUAGUAAAAGAUAAGUAUAUGCAUACACCCAAAUAUAUAGGUCCCAAGCCAAAAAGCAAAGAAAACAAGACCAAAAAAGAAAACAAAAAGGUGAGCCGUUAGCAUCGCGACCGAUAAAAUAAACCAAUAUCAAGGAAUAUUGCCAUCUUCUUUUUAUAUAUAAAUAUUAUUAUUAAGGGGUAGAGAGGGUUCGAAAUUAUCAUAAUAAUUUAAAAGACGGGUAGUUUUGAACGCGAAAUACAUGGGUGAAAACACUCACUAAAAUAAUGAACCACAUGCAAUAUUGCCAUCUUCUUCCAUAGGCAAUAUUCUUCAUGUAUGUAUAGGCGGAGCCACCUAUACAUAGCCACCCUCGGCUGACUGGAGGCGGACUCGCCCACUGACAUUGGUUCUUAAACAAAAAAGAGUACAUGUAGUAUCAACUUUCAAGCUAAAACCUCACUUAAUAACCACUCUAUUGAAAUAGAACUUACAUUUUGCCAACAACACCCCCACCCAUAAUUUUAUGCCAUAUACAAUAGAAAAGAAGCAUAAUGGACCUGAUUGUAGGCAUUGGCUACAAUACUUACAUGUAUUACAAUAAUCAUUUGACAAUUAGUAUAAUUCAUGUAAUUAAAUAUAUUUAAUAGAAUCACUAUCUGACCAAGGUAGGUGAUUUGUAUUAAAUAUAUGUAAUUAUAUUGUAAUUUUAUUAUAAUCCGGAGUUUUUCGUUCAAAUUGAUUUAUGUUAUCAUUUUUGUUUACUUGCUCUGUUUGUUGUGUUUCUUCUUCUUGUUUGUGCAUAUUAUUUACUGGAUUUUAAAAUGAUUUUGAUUUAUGAAUGUUGGUUGUUUUUGAUAAAUAACAGUGAUUUCCUCAAACAUAAAACGUUAUGACUUAACAUAUAAGUGGUUCGUUUGUAUAUUUGGUUGAACUUUUUAAUUUUACUUUGUUGUUUUAGGAUGCCCCUAUUACUAAAUCAAAAGUUAGUUGGCGAACGAGGAAAAUUUGAAUUUAAAACAUCUUUUAACAAUAUUCUGUUAGUUUUCUAAAAAGGAUACUUCGGAUGCAGUCCCUAAUUCUUAACAUUAUUUGACUAAAACCUUAAUGGUAUUCAAAGUUUGAUCAAAGUCCCUUGACUUUGUACACCUCAUUAUAUUACAAUUAAUAUUAAUAUUUUUAUAGUUUUGACAUUAAUUGUUUGAUAUUUUAUGAGAUUUAUAAUCCUAUAAAUUUAAAAUUGCUCAUUAUAAUACUAUUAGAAACGGUUACAAUAAAAAAAUUCAAACAUUUUGGUUGAAUAAAUGGAUAAAAGCUAAGUAAAAAUAAUAAAUAAUAAAUGGCAAAAGAAUGUAUCCAUAGUGUUAAAAAUAUUGGUACAUUUCACAUAUAACAAAGUGGUACAUUAAUAAAGAAGAAUGGGUACAUUAUAAAUAAAUUAGGGUACAUAUAAAAGAUUAAAAAAUUAUGAGUACAAAUGAAUUUUUUUAAAAAUAUAGGCGCUAAAAGAAAUUAAUACAUGGGUACAAAAUAAAACUAAAAAGAAAAUACUACAAAUUUAAAAAAACGUUGCAAAUUAAAAGUGGGUACAAACUAAAAAUAUAAAUAUAUGAUACAAAGUUUAGGCAUAAAAAAUAAAUAUACCAUAUCUAAUUUUUCUAUAAUUGAUUAAAUAUACAAUGUUACGUGACGGUAUACACAUUGGUACAAACACAAAUAAAACUUUAAAAAAUAUGGGCACAAAAAGAAACUAAUAUAUGUGUACAAAUUAAAAAUGAAAAGAAAAUUGGUACAAAUUAAAAAGAGGUACAAACUAAAAAUAAAAAUAUAUGAUAAAAACAAUUUAGUCAUAAAUAUAAAUAUUCUAAUUUUAACAUUUUUAACACUAAAGGAAUAUAUUUAAAAAUAAAAAUAUUUUAUUAUUCAAAUAAUUAAUGAUGUUAUUAAUACCAAGGACCUUGAUCAAAAAUAAAAAAUGAAUAUGAUUUUAAUCAAUGGAGUAGCAAAAAGAAAAAUGUGAACCUAAUUUCUCAUUUCUAAAAUCUCCAUUAACAACAACGGCUUCAAUGAAGGGCCUUACUGAGCAUCUUUUUGUCGGUGGGGAUUAGGGAUGGACAAAUACCCAUUGGUUAUGGGUAACCGCGGUUACCCGCCCAUUUAAAUUAAAUGGUUACGGUUAUGGGUAACCAUUUAGAUAAAUAAACGGUUAUGGGUAUAACCGUUUACCCGUGAAAUUUAAAUGGGCGGUUAUGGGUAUUAACCGCGGUUACAAACGGGUAACCGUUUACCCAUUUAUUUUAUAUAUGUAAAACUAACACAAACCAUGUUCUCGAUCCAAUAAUACUUAGCACCCAAUAAAUUAGCAAGGAAUUCAUCGAUCCUUCUCUCAAUAACACUAUUACAGGAAUGAUGAUUCUCAUCAUCAAGGAAUUGGCCAAAUUAAUUUAAAUUCCUUGCGGGUAACUGUGAAAUUGAAAGAAAUGCUUUGACAUAAAUGUUUUCUAAACAAUUUUUGUAACCCAAUAAUACUUAGAAAAUAUUAUAUUUACCUUCAUUGGUAACAGUUAAAAAUAUCGUCCGUAAACUAUUAUUUCAAUUAUUGGAAUGGUAUAAGGACUUAAAAAAUUAAAAUAUGGAAAUGUAUGAUGAAUGUACCUAUAACUGUGUUUAAUUGUCAAAAAAAAAAUUAUGACAAUUUUUUUUUUAAUUUUCAAGUUGUUAAAAAACAUGUAGACGGGUGAAAAAGGGUAAUGGUAAAAAAAAAAAGAUAAACGGGUUAAAAAGGAUAAAUGGGUAAAAAGAUAUUAAAUAGUUACGGUUAAAUGGGUAUGCGGUUAUGGGUAUGGUUAACCGUUUAUAAACGGUCAUGGGUAUGGGUAUAACCGUUUAGGCAAUUACCCAACGGGUAAACGGUUAUGCGGGUAUGAGCAUAAACGGUUAUGGGUAAAUUAACCGAGGUUACCCACCCACCAUAACCAUUGCCCAUCCCUAGUGGGGAUGAUGGCCUCUAACAUUGAUUUGAAACUAACUUGAAUGAAAUGAAUCAUAGACUUGCAAAUAAAAAUGAUUUAGAAGUAAAGAAUAUGAAACUGUUUCAGUCCCAGCUGAAUUUUAGAGAAAAGACAGAGUUUUGCAAUUCACAUAACUAUUUUUUUACUUCUCACACAUUUUUUAUUUAUUUUUGACCUCCGAAUCAAAUGAAUUGAAGAAGAUCAAUGACUAAAAAUUAACAAGAGUAUGUGAAUAGCACUAUCCAAAAACAAAAGAUAUUGGGUUGUUUUUCCGCUAUUUCUUGAUAGUGGAGCAGAUUGCCAAAGGAUUUGCAAACUUAUCUACAUUAUAUCUCUAUUAAUUAAUGAAACCCUCUUUGUCAACCAAAAGAGGGUGAAAAGACUACUUAGUCUUCUAUCACACACAAAAAAUGAUGGGCAAUAAUGUAAUUUCACAAGUCUAAAUUUUACUGUUUUUUAUUGAAGCCUCACCUAUAGGUGAUGUUAAAAUACCUCCAAUAUUAACAAAAAAAAAAAAAAAACCAAAAACCAAAAACAAAAACCUCACUCCCCCCAUGUUCUGUCUCUCCUCUCUCCCUCUCUCCUUCUCAUUUUCUAAAAAAAUGUGUUCAUACACACAAAGUGUGUAUGCAAAUGCUAGUACUAUUAUUAAGAAAACCCUCAUUGUUAACUUUUUUUUCUAUUUUACCCUCAAUUUUGAUACAAACUAUUGACAAAGGGAGGGCAAAAUAGUAAUUUUGUACAUUUUGACAAAAUGACAAUCAUAUCCCUAUUUUUCCUAUUUUACCCUCUUUUUUAUAUUUAUUUUUUCAAUUUUACCCUCACUUUUGAUACACAAUAUUUACAUAAGGAGGACAAAACAGUAAUAAUGUAAUAUUAUAUAUGCACUUAUUAAGAGAAAUUGUUCACACACACAAAGUGUAUGCUCUCUGCUAGUUUUUUAUUAUGCACAUGUGGAAAAAAUCUUGAAUCUGCCACUAAUUUCUAAUGUUGAUAUUAAUUAACUUUCAACUUAUCAUAGAAUAGGCUUCUCCGCUUAUCAAAUGACCAAGUUUUAAGAUUCAUUUAAACGUUUAGAAGAGAUCUCAACUUCAAAUCUUUCGUACCCCUAUGGUGUUUGACAAUAGUAAAUCCAUUAGGCUAGAAAUUAUAUUGCUAGUGUUACACAGUAGUAAAUCCUUUAAGCUGAAAGUAAUAGAGAAUUAGCAUGCAAAUAUUUCAGAUAAAAAUGCUACAAGAAGUAAAUGCUUUUCAAGUUUUGGACAAAAUGAAGUGGAAGUAGGGCUGGGUUUGGUUGGUAAAUCGUGCCAAAUUCCUUAUGCCACAUACCAACCACAUAUACAUAAUUACCGAAAAUCAGUUACCGCUAGCCAACUGUCUUCUUGCGGUUGCCAAAAAUCGGUUGAACCAAAAUUAUUGGCUGGUUCGGUUGGUAAAUGGUACAACCGAUGGUUUGCAAAUAAGCUACAAAAACAACAGCUCAAGACCAUGCACCAACCUGUAAACAACAAACCAGAAAAGAGAAAAAGAAGUUGCUGCUGCAAUUUUUCAAUUGAUGAUAAGUCAACAUAAUCAUGACUUAACAAAUUAAAAUGAAAAUCAAAUCAAAACUUAAUAAGCCAAUAAUAAUGUCAGCAAACAUAAUCCAAAUAGUUAUAAGUUCACAAACUCAAAAGUCUAACUAAUAUAAUUGUCUAAGUUCAAUUGUAGCAACUAAUGCAUAAACAAAAAAUUCAAAACUUAAAAGUAUGGUUAUGGUUAUAAGAUCCCCUUCUUAUAAUCCCAAAACAAAUAACUUGUUGUUUUGAUAAUGCAACAUCACCGAAUUAGCAUCAACCAAUGCAUGCGAAAUGUUCCAUGAAUCAAUUCUUCGAAGCACUUGGAAUUGAUGUUCUUGCUUGAGAUGUAGAACCAUCAACUAUUUCAAUUCAAAUGUUACAUAAAAAAAAGUAUAAUUAGAAUAAGAAGUAAUACUGAAUAAUAAAUUAAAAAUAUCAAUAAAUAUUGGAUUGAAGUACUAUAAUUAGAAUUAGAAAAAAAAUAAAGCAAUACCUACAUUUUUCCAGUUCUUCACAUGUCAAGCAUGUAAAAAAUACCUAAAAUAUCUAAAUAGAAUAUAUAUAUAUAUAUAUUGGUAGGUAUGGCAUACUGCCGGUUUACAAAAUCCGAUACCAAAGCCAUACCAUUAAUUGUUAGUUCGGUAUAAUGCCAACCGAUUAUGAAAAAAUGCCAAAACUAUACCAUACCAGUAUGAACCAACAUAUAUGAUUCGGUUGGUAAAUUGGUUUAUGGCAAAAUUUCCCACCCCUAAAUGGAAGUAUUUUAGUUAACAAAAGUAAAUAAGAUGAAAAGCAAGGUCCAAAUACGAACAAUAAAUUUAUUAGCCACAUCAGUUGGUGUCUAAAAAUCUAGGAUUUGUUUUGAUGCUUAUGAUAUUUACUCAAUAUUUUAUACCAGUCCCUAACACAAGCACAUUGUUUUCAUUUGCAACGAUCUUUUUUCCUUCAAGGGGGGUUAGUGCCUCGCAUGCGACUGUUAAAGAAGAGCUAAUCUUGUCUAAUCAUUCUCUGAAAAAAAAAAAAAAAAGCAUCUAAAGUUUAAGGGGAAAAAAUGGAUGAAGACAUGGAUAAUAUUGAACUGUUUGUGACAUAUUAGAAGACAAUAAUUGAGUGGGUAGUAAGUACCUGUUUUAAUGGAAAAAAAAAAGUGUUAACUGACAAAAAUGUCUUAAUCAAUGAAAGUAUGAUAAUAUGUAUAAGAGUAUAUGUUCAAAUACAAAAAUACUAAUUAAAAUUUCUCCACUAAUGGAGAAUUGAAGAAUGGCAAACGUGCGUGCUUUGUGGUGGCAUUGGAUUGAAGGAUUAUAUUAACCGAUGCAGUGGCUUCAUGUUGAAUAUCACACUUUGAGCUAGCUUGGUACUUGACCCACCGCCAUGGAUGAGUCCCUCUCCCACGCCGAUAUCUCAUCAGAUUCUGGUAGAAGACGCGGUGGUUGGAUCACUUUCCCGUUCAUCAUUGGUCUCUCUCUCUCUCUCUCUCUCAUGUCCUAUUCACUAAUCAAUUAAUUUGUAUGGUCCAUUUGCUAUAGUAUUGGCUACAAAUUUCUCAUUCUUUACGUGCAGGGAUGAGACAGCACAUAUAUAGAAAUAAGACAGGUUGUUUGUGAUUAUUUUUAGAAUAACGAAAAGUUAGUUUAACAGUGUUUGACAGAAAUUUUGAGAAACGUUUUCUAGAGAAGUACCUGUUCAGAUAACACUCAAAAGUGACACUUGAAUUUUAAUCAAAAUUUUAACUUUUUCUAAUAUAACUGUUUCUAGGAAAAACACUUCUUAGUAAUUGCUCCCUUCAUAAAGCAGUCUCAAAUAGUCGGUUUAUUGAGCAGGGGCUUUGGGAGGCUUGACACUUGCAGCUGGGGGAUGGAUCUCAAAUUUGAUUGUGUUUCUGAUUGAAGAGUUCAAUGUAAACAGCAUUGAUGCUGCCCAGAUCUCAAACGUAGUUUACGGUUCUGUCUGUUUUUUCCCCAUCAUUGGAGCAAUCAUAGCUGACUCAUUCUUUGGCUCAUUCUACGUUAUCUCAAUAUCCUCAUGCAUUUCCUUGCUGGUAACAAAAAAUUCAAUUUCUUUACUACAUGCUUUCACCACAUGAUUUCUGUGGUUAUGGAUAAUACAAUUUCUUGUCAAUUUGAUCUGAGAUCAUGUAGAUUGUUCAUCCUCAUCCACUGACAUCUGAACUGUCAUUUCAAUAUUAGAUUGGCAAUCCAACAUUAUAACAUGCAAGCUGAUAUAAGAUAUACGAAUGUGUACUAGAUAAUCUCCAUAAAUAUAUGAACUAGGGUAGCAUUCUAAAUAAUUGAUAAAUUCGUUGCAGGGCAUCGUUCUCCUAGUUUUAACCGCAACGCUAAAUUCGUUGAAGCCUCAACCUUGUGCUACCGGCUCAAAGUUAUGCCAACCGACCUCGGCAUUACAGUAUGCAGUCUUCUACACCGGCAUAACUCUCGCAUCUCUUGGCUUGGGAGGUACCCGCUAUACCUUGGCAACACUUGGGGCCAAUCAAUUUGACAAGCCUAAGCAUCAAGCAAGUUCUUCAACUGGUUCUUCUUUACUCUGUACUCUAGUAUAGUGGUAGCCCUAACAGUCAUUGUCUACGUUGAAGAUAACCUCAGUUUUAAAUGGGGGUUUGGUCUAUGUGUCAUCGCCAACCUAAUCGGCAUGGCCAUUUUCUUCUCUGGAAGCCGUUUCUAUAAAUUCGAUAAACCACAAGGGAGUCCAUUUGUUGGUUUCGGUCGUGUUAUUGUUGCCUCUGUUCGGAAAACAAGUCUCCAGCUAUCAACUGAAAGAAAGAAUUAUUAUUAUGGACAUGAUGGAGUGACAAACAAGGUGGCUGCAGCAACACUUAGCAAGAGUUUCAGGUACAAACAGUAUGGGUUAAUUAUAUACGCAAGGUAGAGAUAGAGAAAUUAAUAUGCUCGACUUUAAAACCAAAUUAUAUACGUUAGGUAGUGUUUUCUUGUCAAACAAUUAGUUAUGAGCAUAUACCUCUAUGCAAGGAGAAAUUUUGGGUUCCAACAACUGAAUCAUGUGUCCGCACGGACCUAGACACAACACCACGUACCUCAACCAUCUUGAUUCGUUCCUCAAAAAGGCAAAAAAAAAAAAAAAAAAAAGCUCCGCCUUUGUCAAUAUGGUAUGAUAGUAGAGAUGUCAUUGAAAUACACGUUGAAUAUAAUGUGAUGUUUUCUACCACCAAUAUCUAUUGAUUUCAAAUUAAAUGUUCAAAUUCAAUCUUGUUCAUAUAGUCAAGCUAUCCAUGUGUCAAACCAAACGGACACAUGUUAGGGACUUACAUGUGAAGGGUGUGAUGAGAUUAUUAUGUCACGCUAUAGAGAUGAAGUCUAACUUAGUAUAUGUGAUAAUGAGUCUCUCUACCCACUUCCAGUUCGUUUAGAGGUUGGAAUGUUCAAUCAAAUUUUACGAAAUUUGACAUUUUUUCAACCUAUUUUUGGUUCAAUUUGGUAAUUAUUUUUUCUGCUAUUUGCUUCCUUUCUAAAGUAAAAUUGAAUUCUGGAAGAGACUAGUUGAGUAGGCUAAAACCAUUUACCAAUGAACUUGAUGUUCUUAUUACCAUUCCCCUUCCCUCACCAUCGCUAUGAUACAAAAAAAUAAAAUAAAGUACAAAAAAUAAAAUAAAAAAGUAAAGUUGAGUGCUAUUUAAAAACGACAUUAAAAGACUUCAUAUUUUCAUGCAGAUUCCUUAACCGUGCAGCACAGAAAAUUGAAGGAGACGUGAAAUCAGAUGGCUCAAUUGCGAAACCAUGGAGCUUAUGCACAACGCAACAAGUGGAAGAUUUCAAGACCGUUCUAAGAAUUUUUCCACUAUGGUCUACAGCUUUAUUCUUAGCUACCCCAAUAGCAAUCCAAUCCAGCAUGUCAGUCCUGCAGGCUCUAACCAUGGACCGUCACAUUGGCCCCCAUUUUAAAUUGCCAUCUAGUUCUGUUAUAGUCAUUGUUCUAUUCUCAACAUCCAUGUUUCUAACCCUAAUUGAUAGAUUCUUAUGCCCCAUGUGGCAGAAGAUCACUGGUGAGUUACCGUCUCCCCUCCAGCGUGUAGGAGUAGGACACGUGUUAACCAUUCUCAGCAUGGCUGUUUCAGCAGUGAUGGAGUCCAAAAGGCUCAAAAUAGUGCAAGAACACCACCUCCAAGACCAGCCUGGUACUAUUGUUCCAAUGUCGAUCUUUUGGCUUUUCCCACAGUUAGUUUUGGUAGGCAUUGGAGAUGCAUUUCAUUUUCCAGGACAGGUUGCAUUGUUUUAUCAAGAAUUUCCCAUGUCACUGCGAAGCACAUCGACGGCCAUGAUCUCAUUGAUUAUUGGGUUUGCAUAUUAUGUAAGCAGAGGUGUGGUUAAUAUGGUCCAAAGGGUUACUGGAUGGUUACCAAACAAUCUAAAUAAUGGGAAGCUGGACAAUGUUUAUUGGAUGCUAGCUGUGCUGGGGGUGAUAAACUUCGGCUAUUAUUUGUUGUGUGCUAAGUUGUACAGGUAUCAAAAUGUAAAGGGUGCAGAUGGUAGUCCUGACCCAGAUAGCUAGUGAUAAGUGAUUAGUGUUGGUUGGUGAUUAAAGAAAUUAUCUGGGUCAUAAGACUUGGCACAAACCAAGAACAGUGGCGUUGUCAACCCCACUUAAUUAGUAGAAUAAGAUUUUGUUGUUGUUGUUAUUGUAUAAGUUGUCUCAUAUGUCCCAGCUUUUACAAAUAUUCAUAAUGCAAUAAACAUAAUUUGAACCAAAGAGUGCCUUAUAUGCAUUUAGACUAGAAAUUUUUAAAACAACUGAAGUCAAAAGAUUUUAAAACAUCUAGUGCGUCUUUUGUUUCAUGUGUGGGUAGCUGUCAUAGACAGAAAGAGUGGCUGGCUAUGUCGUUUGAAGUUGAUGUAAACAAUUUGAAUCCAAAUGUUCUAUCAUUUGGAGGAAAAAAAAAUCAAAGAGUGUCUUAUAUGCGAUUAAACUAAAUCGUUGUAUUAAAAAAAGUCACAUUACAUAUAAAUCUGAUAGUAUACACUAUUUACCAAAAAAAAAAAAAUUAAUAAUAAGACAUAUACAACCAACCUGCCUUUGUUUGUCUAACCAAAAACUUCAUCUAGUCUAUACAACAAGCUAAUUUUGACCGUGGAUGCGUGAUGAAUUGUGAUCUAUUUUUCUUCAGAUUAAAACAAUAAAAGUAAUUUUUUUCUCUCAUAAAAUUGCUCUCUGUAAUUUUUUUCGCCCAUGAGCGGUAGGUCUCGAGUUCGAGACUUGGGAGCAACCUUUCCAUAAAUGGGGAUAAGGCUAGCCGACAUUCACCUCUCCCAGACCCUGCGUAAAGCGGGAGCCUUGUGCACUGGGGACGACCUUUAUAAAAUUGCUCUCUGUACUGGGCAAAUCUUGUGUGCAAUUGCUCUAUCUUGUCUAGCCGUUCCGGGCUGUUUUGUAGGGUGGCUGCUAGAGCCGUUUGAGUCUUGUGACUGGUUCCGUCCCUGCUUAUUCUGACAUGGCUUAUAACGCUUGGCUUUAACAUCUUUCCCAUUAACUGAGAAUUUGCCUUUGCUCUCAUGGUCUGGUUUAUCAAGAAUUCUUGUAGCGUCUGACGCAGACUUAGCAACAACUUGAGCAAACAGUGAUUGGUCAUUUGGAUGAACAGGCUUCUUCAUAAAGACUGACUAUACAAUCUCCAAAUUUCCUGCAUAUACAUGAUGAGUUAAAACAGUUAAUCCAGAUAUUGUUGAAGCUGAUAAUAAUAGGUCUAUAUAAAUAUAUAAAUAUAUAUGUAUAUAUAUUACACUUUACCAGCUUAGAUUUGAGGUCUAUUGCAAUCUCAUACAACAUUUUUAAAAAUUUCACUCUCAUACUCAUGUACUAUUUUAUUUCAAUAUAAUAUAUCCGUUACAUUUUUCAUUCAUUAGUCCAUUAAGAGCUGACGUGACUGCUAUAUUUAUGCCAACGUGGCUACAAAAUUUGUGCCACAUGGCAAAAAAUAAUAAUUUUUUAUGCAUUUAAAAUAUUAUAAUAAUUUGCCCUAUUAAAAUAUUCCGGCGUGAGGGAUGGCACGACCAGCUGCAUAUUCGUUUGAUGGCGGAGCUCAUCGAGAUCGGAGGGAACAGAGGGAAAGGGGGAACUGUACAAGAUGUUAGGUGGAAGAGUAGGCUGAAGUCUGUAAUUGAAGAUUUGCAAUUACAGAUCUACCUUUUGCUUUUUACAUAUUUUUCUUUCAUUUUCAAACUUUUAAUUUGGUUUAUUGAUUAUUUCCAGUAUUGAAAACUGGAAACGAGAGAGCUCUGCGGUUGUGAUGGGGAGGGGGUGGCUAGGUAGGAAGAUAUGGGUUUUCUUUUUUCUUUUUUCUUUUCUUUAGUUAAUUGUGGUGGGUAGGAAGUUUGUGGUGCGUUUUUUGGAUGGGAUGGGAGGUGAGCAGCUGGGUUUUUAGGGGUUUUGGGUGGGGUGGGGGGUUGCGGGGGAGGUGGGGGUGGGGUGGGAUAAGAGGUUUGGGUUGCAGAGAAGGGGAAGGGGUUGGGGAAGGAAGAUGGUUUUUUUUUUUUUUUUUUUUCUUUCUAAGGGUAAAUUAUUAUAUUUUAAUUGCAUAAAAAAGUAUUUUAUUUUUUUGCCAUGUGGUACAAAUUUGGCAGUCACAUCAGCACAAAUAUGGAUCCAAUAUUUGUCACGUCACCACCUACAAAAGUAGAGAUAAAAACACUAAAAAAAUACUUGCAAGAGAACAAGGUAGUUGUAGUAUAACGACUCACGCAAAGUCAUUUUCCGUAGGGAUUGUUUGAAUAAUUUGUGCAAAACCAAAAUCUUAGUUAAUUAUUUAAAAACAAGAAUUGGAAAAAGUUGAUUUUGAAUUUAAAAAUAAUAAAAACGAAUUUAAUUAAAAUGAUUAAGGAAAUUAGCAAAGUAAAGAAAACAAAAGAAAACAUUUUGUAAACCAAAUUGUAAAAGUCUAGGGUUCCGCUGUCCCCUUAACAAUCCUAUGUAGAUUUACUAAUUACUUAUGAAUUACCCAUGCAACUUUGAAGGUUAGGUUUUCCUAAUGCAUAUUCUACUUGUGGUAUUCAAGCUAGAACGUAUAUCAAACAUGCAAUCUGUCUAUGGUAUUCAGAUCAAAUAUAAACAUGCAUGACUCAUUACACUUUGUGAAAACCCUUCAAAAAAACCAUGCAACCCCUAAGACGUGGUAUUCAUCCUAGGUGAAAUUACAACUAUCAAUCACAACAAGCAAUACUCAAUUCCCCGUUGGUAUUCCGACCGAAUUGCAUCCAAUUACUUAUCUAAACAUCCUAAUGAUAGCUAAGCAUUAAGAUAUAGAGACAGUUUAAGCACAGUGAUUAAUAAUUCAAAGUAUGCAUGCAUAAUAUCAUAAGCAAUUAAAUAAAGACUACAUAUUCAUGCUAAGGCUCAAGGCAUCGCCCUAGCAAACUGAAAUUAGUUACGAACAACCAUAAAACAAAAGAAAUUUUAUUGAAAUAGAAAAAGGAUAGAAAACACCUUGAAAUACAAAUCGUCAAAGCCUAACUAAGUUCUCCAAAUUGAUCCCUCCCUUCUCUAAUGGCUAAAACACCUUGAAAACACCAUGAUUUCCGAGGUUAUGGAUAAUACAAUUUCUUGUCAAUUUGAUCUGAGAUCAUGUAGAUUGUUCAUCCACUGAUCAUGUGAACUUUCAUUUCAAUAUUAGAUUGGCAAUCCAACAAUAUAACAUGCAAGCUUAUAUAACAUGUACGAAUGUGUACUAGAUAAUAUUGAAUAAGUAUAUAGGUUGUGUCAUUACCACUACACGUGCAAAACAUGUGCACAUAUGGCUUACUGGAUAGAAUAGUAUAAAUAGCUUUUCCUUUCCUUUAUUUUGGUAAUCGAUUGUAAUACCUGAAACAGUUAGAGAAAUACAUUGUGAUAUUCUUUUGGCUUCUCCUCUAAGCUUUCUUCUUCAAUGUAUUUCUUGAUUUCUACGGAAUUCAUCCCUACUACUAAGAUGGUAUCAAGAGCCAAUCUUGCUUGCGCAAUGGUACUAGUUCAUCAUUUCCGCUGCUUCGACUUGUAAUAAGGUGAUAUUGCUUAUGUGCUUUGUCUCUGGAAAUUUGUUCUUUGCGUCGAAAACCCUAAAGAAUUUAGUGUUCUUCUUCUGAAAUUUUGUUUGAAUUGAAGUGUAAUUGAAGGCCGAUGCCAUAGUUUCUAGUUAAUUGAAUAGUUAUAUGUUGAUUUGAUGAAAGGCCGAUGCCAAAAUUUGUUGUGAUUUUUUCAAUUUCCUGAAGUGAUUAAAUUGAUUGAAGGCCGAUGCUAUAGUUUUCUGGUUAAUUGAAGAGUUAUAUGUUGGUUUGAUGAAAGGAUGAUGCCAAUUUGUUGCGAAUUUUAGUUUCUUGAAGUAAUUGAAUUGAUUCAAGGCCGAUUGCCAUUGUUGAAGUUUAUUUGUGAUUCUUACUUCUUUGCGAUUAUAUAGUGAUUGUAUUCGUAGUUAGAAAUCAGAUAUGCAAUUCUUUUUCAUCUGGAGUUAUCCACCGACUCAUCUUGCUUCUGGGUUUUUCUGGGUAUUUUCACACCGACAUAGUUUUGAUUGUUUCUCUUUGUUUUUCAUAUCAUGGAAAAUCAAGUGAGGAUUGAAAGUUUGUUGGGUAUGCUCACUAUUAAACUGAAUGAUGAUAAUUUCAUUAAAUGGAGUUACCAAUUUGGCUCGGUUCUUCGUGGCUAUGAUUUCUUUGAUCAUUUUACUGGUGAUUCUGUUUGCCCUCCCAAGUUUGUUAUCACUUUUGAAUUAGGGGUUACCAAUGAGAUAAAUGCAGCUUAUAAAGAAUGGGUUAAGAUUGAUAUGGCGUUGUUAAGCUUGUUAAUUGCUACACUCAGUGAUGAUGCUAUAGAACAUAUAGUAGGAUGUAAGACCUCUCAUGAGGUAUGGACUGCUUUACAGGAUAGAUAUAUGUAUGUGUCUAAAGCUAGUGUCAAUCAUCUCAAAGCAAAACUACAUACUAUGCAGAAAGGGGGGGACAUUAUUGAUAAAUAUCUACUGAGGUUAAAGACUAUUAAAGAUCAAUUAUAGGCUGCUGGAUAGAAAGUAUUAGACAAUGAUCUCAUCAUUGCUGCACUAAAUGGCUUACCUUUUAAUUACGAUUUGAUUCAAACCGUUAUAUUGGCUAGAGAGUCACUGAUUACACUUAAAGAAUUUCAGGCUCAAUUAAUUGGUGCAGAGAAGACAAUUGAAACUAGAAUGCAGUCUUUGGUUCAGAGUAUGUCUGCCAUGUAUGUCAAUGCUAAUGCUUCCAAUGAUCAUACUGGGAAAUCUUCCUCUCAGUUCCCUGCAUCUUCAGGUUCAUCAGGCAAUUCUUCUAAUGCACAGUUUUCUCCGACUGUUGGUUCUGGAUUUUCUAAAAGUUCAUCAUCUGUUACAAGUUAUCCUGGUAAUUAAUUUCAGUCCAAUGGCUACUCAGGAAAUAAUAUGACUGGCAGAUCAUUCAAUGGAAGUAGUUCACAAACACCACGUCGUCCCCAGGAUAAAACAGCCCAGAACCUUCUUCUGAUAAGAUUCUUCCUUUGCACACCGGAAGAACCUUCGAACUUACACAUUUCCGAUAUGUUGCUUUUUAAAUCAAUAUAUGUAAAACUUUUUUUCCUGCUUUCACUUUCUGCAAUUCGCCUAACUAAUAUGUGUGUGUGUGUGUCUAUAUAUAUAUAUAUAUAUAUAUAUAGACAUUGGAAGGUGUGAAACCGUAAGAAAUCAAGGAAGUUUAUGGGGAUGCAAAACCGUAGGAAAUCAAGAGAGUUUAUGGGGGUGUAAAACGGUCUGCAAUAAAAAAAGUUAUUAGUGGUGCAAUGUUGUAGGAAAUCAAAACAAACAAAAGAUAAAAACCACAACGGGACAAUCAAAACGUAAUUCAAAUUCAAACCGGAAAUAAAAACAAAACUGUUUGAUUGCAUAACUCCUUAAGUCAAAAUCAAUUGACUUUUAAUAUUGAUAAUAAAGCAAAACGUUAUGUAUAUAAAAUUGGUAGUAAAACAUAAAUAUAUUUAAAUAAAACAUAUUUACUCCAACAAUCCCCCACUUGUUUUUGUUUAAAACUAUAUAUCAAGCAACAUAUCAUAAAGCUAUGCAUAAGUAAAGGUGUUUCUCAACUUAAACCUGCACAUUGUGUUAGUGAUCCAGAUUAUACUAGAGUAACUUAUAGUUUUGAACUCUAUCUCUGACAACACCACACACAUAACUUUAUUAAGGUGAAGUUCAAAAAGUCAGCACAUUACGACCAUGUGCUUGUAUCCCAAUAUAGUGAACGUUCUAGAAACUUGCCCAAGAUUUCAUAGGAAGCGGCCUCACUUCCACAUUCACAUAAGUAAGGCUAUCAAGGAUAUUCCUAAAGCUAGAUAUCCCACUCAACAUAGAGUAUAGACCUUACUAAGAGAAAAUUAAAAACUUAACCUAAAAAUGCUUCAGGAUGUCAUGCUUCUUAGGGAUGGACAUGGAAUAAUAUUCCAAAUUAAAAUUAGCAAGACUUCACUUAUAUCAUUUGUGACUUGUUAUUACCCCUUGAACCUACUUCUUAGGAUCUCCAGUCUAUAGGUUGGGUUGCUAUCACAAAUGAUUCAAUUUUCUAAGGGCUUUAGUCCCAUCCCUUUCGAGGUUUUCCAAACCUUUUCUCGCGCUAGUCGUUUCGUCAAAAGAUCAGCCAAGUUCUCCUCAUACCGUAUAUGAUUCACUCCUAUAGCUCCAUUAGAGAGAUAAUCUCUUACAGUGCUAUGCUUACAACGUAUUUGUCUCAUUUUCCCGUUAUAAUAACAUUUUUGUACUUUAGCUAUUGCCGAUGUGCUAUCACAAUGAAUCAAAACUGCUGGAAUCGGUUUCUCCCAUAAAGGGGUAUCUGACAAUAGGUUUCUCAACCAUCCUGCUCCUUGCUUGCCGUAGCUAGCACUAUUAAUGUUGACUCCAUAGUAGACUGAGCCCAGAUAGUCUGUUUCUUCGACUUCCAUGACACAGCACUACCACCAAUACUAAAAAUAUAUCCACUAGUGGCUUUAGAGUCAUCUGACAAGGUAUUCCAAUUAACAUCGCUAUAACCUUCUAGGACAACGGGAAACUUCUCAUUGUGUAAUCUGAAAUUCAUCGUCCUUUUAAGGUAUCUCAUAAGCCUCUCUUUAGCAUGCCAAUGCUCCAAACUAGGUCUGCUAGUGAACAUGCAUAAAACUCGUACGGCAUAAGAUAUAUCAAGCCUAGUGCAAUCAGUAGCAUAACGAAGACUACCAAUAAUGCUCGCAUACUUAGAUUGUUUAACACUGUCACCAAUGUUCUUGAACAAUUUUACACUAGGAUCAUAAGGAGUACAUGUUGGUUUACAAUCAAAAUAAUUAUACUUUCUUAAAAAAAUUUCUAUGCAGUGGGAUUGAUCUAAAGAAAACCCAUUUUCGGACCUAGUUAUUUUCAAACCAAAUAUUACACUAGCUUCACCCAAGUCUUUCAUAUCAAAAUUAGCACAUAAUAAAGUUUUGACAUUAUUCACAACAUGAAUAUUCGAAACAAAAAUAAGCAAAUCAUCCACAUAUAGGCAUAUUAUAGUGCAUAUAUUACUUUCAGACUUAUAAUAGAUGCAUUUAUCACUUUCAUUUAUUUUAAAACCAUUCGAAGUAACCAAACUAUCAAAUUUUGCAUGCCAUUAUUUAGGAGCACGUUUCAAUCCAUAAAGUGACUUAUCUAACUUGCAAACUUUAUUUUCUUGUCCUGGAAUGAUAAAACCCUCUGGUUGAUCCAUAUAUAUUUCUUCCUCUAAUUCACCAUUUAAGAUAGUUGUUUUAACAUCCAUUUGGUGCACAACAAGAUCAUCAAUAGAAGCUAAAGCAAACAAUACACGAAUAGAUGUUAUUCUAGUCACAGGUGAAUAAGUAUCAAAGAAAUCUAUAUUUUCUCUUUGUCUAUAGCCUUUGGCAACAAGUCGGGCUUUAAAUUUUUCAACUGAACCGUCAGGUUUUAAUUUUCUUUUAAGAAUCCAUUUGCAACCUAUUGUUUUGCAACCAGGUGGAAGAUCCACUAAGUGCCAAGUUUGAUUUGACUUCAGGGAGUCCAUUUCAUCAUUUAUAGCUUCUUGCCACAAAUUUGCAUCUAAAGAAGUUAAAGCUUCUUGAAUUGUAUUAGGAUCUUCUUGUAAGUUAUAUAAAUGAAAAUCAGGCCCAAAAUUUUUAGCUAUUCGAGCUCUUUUACUUUUCCUAGGUUCUAAUGCAGAUUGACUAUGUUCUACAAUAGUAGGUUCAUAAAUUUUACAAGAAUUAGAACCCCCACUAUUUCGAAGAUUAAAAGGAAAUUUAUUCUCAUAAAAAUCAGCAUCAAGUGACUCAAUUAUGACAUGGUUUUUCAAAUCAUAAAAUCUAUAUGCUUUGCUAUUACAUGCAUAACCAAUAAAAACACAUUCAUAUGCUCUACUAGCCAAUUUCGAUCUUUUUGGAUCAGGUUUACGAACAUAAGCUAAACAACCCCAAGUUCUGAAAUACAACACAUUUGGUUCUUAUUUUUCCAAAUUUCAUGAGGAGAAAUAUUUGUUUUUGAGUUAGGGAUUCUAUUUAACACAUAACAAACAGUCAACACAAUUUCACCCCACCAAUAGGAAGUAGCUCCAAAACUAAGUAAAGUAGCAACAGUCAAAUCACAAAUAGUUCUUUUUUCUUUUUGCUUUACCAUUCAUUUCAGGAGAAUAAGGAGUAGUAGUUUCAUGAAUAAUUCCAUGAGACUUAAACAAAUUAACAAAUUCAGUAGAUUCAUAUUCUUGUCCUCUAUCACUACAAAAUCUUUUAAUCUUACGAUUAAAUUGAUUUUCAACUUCAGUCAAGAAAGUUUUGAACAUGUCAAUAGCUUCACUUUUAUUUUUCAUAAGAUAGACAAAAUAAUAAUUCGAACAAUCAUCAAUAAAGGUAAUAAAUUAACGUUUUCCAUUUCUAGUUAACACUCUAUCAAAUUCACAUAUAUCAGAAUGAAUUAAGUCAAGUGGUUCAGAUUCUCUAUUGACAGAUUUAUGCGAAGUUCUAGUGAUUUUAGCUUGACUGCAAUAUUCACAUUUUUCAAAAUCAUUCAAUGAUAAGUUAGGUAAAAAGCCUAAGUUACUCAUGUUCUUAACCAAGUGUUUGUUAACAUGACAAAGUCUAGCAUGCCAAGUAUUAAACGAAGACAACAUGUAAGCAGAAGUAGUCAUUUUAUCAAUAUUCAAUUUAAACAUUCCAUCAGUAGCAUAUCCCUUUCCCACAAAAACCCCAUUUUUAGUAAGAGUAUACAUAUCUUAUCCAAAUAUUUGAGUGAAUCAAGCCUUGUUGAGAAGAAAGCUCGAGACAAGAUUCUUCCUUAUCGUCCGAGCGUGCAUCAUAUCUUUCAGUGUCAUGGUUUUUCCAGAUGUGAACUUCAACUCCACAUCUCCAGUACCAUUAACAUCAAUUAAGUGUGAAUCACCCAACAAGACCUUCCUUCCCUCAACCACAAAAUAGGUCUUGAAAAGGGAACGAUCAUAUAUAGCAAACAUGGCGAGAAGCGCCAGUGUCCACCCACCACCCAUUUCUAAUAUCAUUGCAAUUAGUUGCCCUUCAACAAGAUUUGCCUGAGAAGCAGAGUUUUCCUUAUAAUGCAUGGCAGAUUGAAUUCGUCUUAAAUUGUUGAAAUCUGAAAUAGAAAGGAAUGAAGUUACCCGAAAAAUGUAGGGAUGAGUCGCGAACUAAGUCGCUCUCUUUAAGACGUUUUGCGGCUCUACUCAAAAUGUGCAAGCAGUUCACAAACACCACGUCGUCCCCAUGAUAAAACAGCCCAGAACCUUCUUCUGAUAAGAUUCUUCCUUUGCACACCAGAAGAACCUUCGAACUUACACCUUUCCGAUAUGUUGCUUUUUAAAUCAAUAUACGUAAAACUUUUUUUUUCCUUCAUACACUUUUUGCAAUUCACCUAACUAAUAUAUAUAUAGACGUUGGAAGGUGUGAAACCGUAAGAAAUCAAGGAAGUUUAUAUAUAUAUAUAUAUAUAUAUAUAUAUAUAUAUAUAUAUAUAUAUAUAUAUAUAUAUCAAGAGAGUUUAUAUAUAUAUAUCAAGAGCGUUUAUGGGGGUGUAAAACGGUCCGCAAUCAAAAGAGUUAUUAGUGGUGCAAUGUUGUAGGAAAUCAAAACAAAAAAGAGAUAAAAACCACAACGGGACAAUCAAAACGUAAUUCAAAUUCAAACCAGAAAUAAAAACAAAACGGUUUGAUUGUAAAACUCCUUAAGUCAAAAUCAAUUGACUUUUAAUAUUGAUAAUAAAGCAAAACGUUAUGUAUAUAAUAUUGGUAGUAAAACAUAAAUAUAUUUAAAUAAAAACAUAUUUACUCCAACAAGUCUUGUGAUUGGUUCUGUCGUCCUUGCUUAUUCUGAAAUGACUUUGUUGAUGCACAAAACCGGAGAGGUCUUGGAACAACGUAAAUCCGACCGUGAAUCUGCAGAAAUGUUAAUAACACAAGAUGUAUCGUGGUUCACCCCAAUGUUUGCAUUACGUCCACACUGAUUAUUGUAUUUCUCUGAGAUGUUGAAGGGGGAGAGAAGGAGAGAGAGCUUCCUUAUGUGAGGAUGAGCUUCUUUGAAUAUGAGAGGGGAUGUGAGGCCUCUCUAAUUAUGAGGGUGAGAGGUCCUUUUAUAGAAUAAGGGCUCCUCACUUAUUACAUAUUUGCCCCUUCUUUUAUUACAUAAUUACAUUUAAGUCCCCUGAGUAUUUAUACGAGGUCUAAAUACGGAGGCCCUAAGUAUGGUAUAAAUAGUAGUCCCCCAAGUCUUCAGUCAAGAGAGUCUUUUGGCUAGAGACUUGAAAUUCAGUCCAUGUGUGGGCCGAAGUAACUAGAUGUCGUCUAGAACUGAUACUCGAUAUGAGGCGGUGCCCAAUCUGAAAUGAUGCUCAACUAGAAGUAGCACAUGUUGCGAGGUUGCUCUGCUUGUUGCUUAUGUUGCCUUGGUUGGCUCGGCUUGUGGUGUUUAAAGGUGAAGGAGUCCCUUUUAUAGAAUAAGGGCUCGCUCCUCGAUACAUAAAUAUGGGCUAGAGUUGAUGCUUGCGGCGAGACGGUUUCUCAGUAGGCAGUGAUGCUCUCUAAUGAUGGUGAGGGAAUCUCUUUUAUAGAAUAGGGCUCGCUCCUCAAUACAUGAAUAAUGGGCUAGAGUUGAUGCUCUCUAAUGAUGGUGAGGGAGUCCUUUUUAUAAAAUAAAGGCUCGCUCCUCAAUACAUAAAUGAUGGGUUAUGAGUGAUGCUCGCAGCGAGGUGGUUGCUCAGCUGGCGGUGAUGCUCUCUAAUAAAGGUGAGGGAGUCCCUUUUAUAAAAUAAGGGCUCGCUCCUCAGUACAUGAAUAAUGGGCUAAGUCCCCUAAGUAUUUUUUUUAUAAGGCCCAAUAUAUGGUACAUAGUGUAGUCCCCCAAGUUUUCAGUCAAUAGGGUCUGUUGGCUGGAGACUUCAAAUUGAAUCCAUGUAUGGGCCAAAAUGGCGGUUGUUCGGAGGCGAUAUUUGUAUACCCUGCACUGAAGUUUUGUAGGUGAAGCUUUGCAAGUGAAGCUUUGAAGCUGGAGCUCUGUAAAUGAAGCUUUUGAAGCUAGAGCUUUUGUAAAUGAAGCUUUUGAAGCUGGAGCUCUGUAAAUGAAGCUUUUAAAGCUAGAGCUUUUGUAAAUGAAGCUUUUGAACUGAUUGACAUGAGUGAUGCUCAUGAAUGUUUAUGUUGAUUUGACAUGAGUGAUGCUCAUGGAUGUUAACAUGAGUGAUGCUCAUGAAUGUUUAUGUAUGAUUGACAUGAGUAAUGCUCAUGUAUAAUUUGAAGUACUGGGCGUACUUUUGAUCACCUGGUUGGUGGUGAUAGCGGCAAGUUGCCGAAUAAUUUUGGAGUACUGAGCGUACUUUUGAUCACCUGGUGGGUGCUAUUUUGGGCUUAUGGGCCUUCGCCCUCCACACAACAUUCCAGCCCAUUUAUUUUGGGCUUUUCCGUUUUUUUUUAAUUAUUACCCUCUGAUGGGGUUUAUACAAAUAUCUCCGAAAGAUACGAAAAAUAAAUUACACCAUUCAACAAUAAGGAAAGUAAACCACAUCACUCUGGUGGGGUGUUUAUUCCUUGCUUUUGCAAUGUGGGUGUUUAUUCCUUGCUUUUGCUUGUGUUUUUUUUGCUGCACUCUCUCUGUCUCUUCAUCUGGCAAACAAAAGGAAUCAUAAUAAUAGGAAGAUCUUUUGCUUUUCUUAUUCUCUCCACUGCGUCUCUGUCUUUUGCUUUUGUGCCGUAGCUCACUUGAUUGUUUUUCUUUCUGCUUUCUUCUUUUGCUUUUCUUUCACUUUUCUCUUUUGGCAUGGCAGACAACACCAAAGUGGAAUAAUAAUGGUAUUGUUGUAAGACAGCUUAUCUAUAUCUCUACUUUCAUCAUUGGCAGCGGACUGUGAUCUUAGCUUUUGCUUUUCUUGGUAUCUCCAUCAGCAUCUGUUGAAGGUUUAGAGGAGGAAAAAGGUCGGCGGAAAAAAACCGGCUGGGGGUGGAAGUGGCGCUCUUGCUCCGCGACGGGGAUGACUUCUUGAGGUAAUGGGCAGGGCUGGGAUUGUAGAAGGAGUAGGAGACUUCGGAUUGGGCAGAGCAGAUUGAGGAGAGAGCACGACCCCGGCUGCAUGUACCAUAGCCGCAUUUCUCAGGUGGCCACCAAUCAAGAGUUGCACAAAUAAAAUCGUCGUCGAUUUUGGUAAUGGCGUCUCUGCCAUUGAUGCGGACUAUACCUUCCACACUUCCUCCUCCAAACCCCACCUUUGAAUUUACAGUAUAAACCAAGAAACUAAAAGAAAACCCAGAAAAUGAAUCUCAUUUACAAGAUAUCAGAACUCAUCUGCAACAAGAUCUCUGUCUCUGUCUCUAUGUUUUUCUUUCUCUCUCCCUCUCUCAAAUUCUCGAACCCAAUUUCCGAUUCCAAGAAACUGACUUGCUUCUCACACCUGCCCCAUUGACUAAAUCAAUUUUAGAGGAAAAACAACCCCAAAUGUCCUGUUGAACUGAUGGAUUCAUAUCUACCUCUCUGACAGGUUACCAAUUUGACAAGGGCUGUUUGUUUUCUCCACCUUUAAUUUUCAAAUAGGACCACUUAUCGGCAAGUUCACGACUUUGAGAGGGGAAGACGAAGGUGUUCCAGCCUCUCUAGACGGCGACCGUCAUGACAUGCUUGCUCUCCGUCCACACCCACAUCCUCUUCAACUUGCUGUACGUCCCCGAAGACGACGUCAUGGAAGACCCGAUAGCAGCGGCGAAGGAAGAGUUCUGGGAAACCAUUGAGUGUCUAUGCAAUGAAAUCAAUCUGUAAAUGUUCCAUUUAUCUGUGGUGAGGCAAAUAUAUUACUGUUUUGUGGAUUGACCUUUGAGGGAUAUUUCUGGGUUGAGAGAUAGAGAGAUAGAAAGAGUAAUUAAAAAAAAGAAGGUGAUUUGUAGAGAGAGAGAUAGAGUUCAAAAUUUGAGGAUUACUGAGCACCGCCUAACGGAGGGCGUUGCAGUGGCCAUAGUGCAUCAUGUCGAAGCAGCCGUCCAUGUAAACCCGAACGGGUCUGUUCUUCUUCCUCCGCCAUGGAAGUCCCAAAGGCAGUUGUGGUCCGCCGCGUUCUUCUGAGCCCAGAAGAGAAAUCCCGACCCCGACCCCCGCUGCCACCGCCACCCUGCCGACGAGACAAGUGGCUACAAACCUCGCCCAGCUCCGCGCGUUCUCUGAGUUCCCAUCUUCCAAAACCAUCUCGAAGCUUCUGAAAUUUUCCAAAUCAAAUCAAAACGAAAGCGAUUUCCUCUUCCUUUGAUUCAACCCAACAUUUUCUUCGGCGUAUCAAAUCGAAAAAUUGAAGAAAGUCGGCAACUUUUUUAUUUGCAAUUGUUGGGUUCUAGUCAGCGGUUCCCCUCACUUUUCUGAUGACAGUAGCGAGGAAGAAGGAGAAUGAGGGAGGCCAGAGUGGGCAAUGAUGAGAUUUGGGGAAAUGUUUGGGGGCAAAGUAAGGAAAAGAAGGAGGGCGUUUAAGGAGAGGGUGGACUGAGCGAGAGAGGAUGACGCAAGUUGUCAUGAGCACGUUGAGUACAAGAAGAGAAACCAAUAAGACUCUGUUUCAUAAGAGAAGGUUGUGUCGUCUUCCGUAGGCUCUCUUUCUGCUCUGAUCCUUGUUGUUCCUUUACUUUAGCAUGGAAGGUUGUGGCCUCUCCUGUGAAGCUAAAAAUUAUGAUCUCUCUAAAAAUCCUUGUUCUGAUCUCUCUAAAAAUCCUUGUUCUGAUCUCUCUAAAAAUCCUUGUUCUGAUCUCUCUAAAAGAUGUGGGUGAUGGCAGGCGAGAAGGAUGGCGAGGGCUGAAGAAUAGGUGAUGCUCUCUGAUGGCCGAGAGAGUUUCGGUUGUCUUUUGGGUUUUGCAGAUCCACGGCAGAGGUGAAAAAUUGAAAGAGAACCGACAUAACUUUUCGUGUCGAUUCCCACAGACGGCGCCAAAUAUUGAUGCACAAAACCGGAUGGGUCUUGGAACAACAUAAAUCCGACCAUGAAUCUGCAGAAAUGUAAAUAACAUAAGAUGUAUGACGGUUCACCCCAAUGUUUGCGCUACGUCCACACUGAUUAUUGUAUUUUUCUGAGAUGUUGAAGGGGGAGAAAGGGAGAGAGAGCUUCCUUAUGUGAGGAUGAGCUUCUCUGAAUAUGAGAGGGGAUGUGAGGCCUCUUUAAUUGUGAGGGUGAGGGGUCCUUUUAUAGAAUAAGGGCUCCUCACUUAUUACAUAUUUGCCCCUUCAUUUAUUACAUAAUUACAUUUAAGUCCCUCGAGUAAUUAUACGAGGUCUAAAUACGGAGGCCCUAAGUAUGGUAUAAACAGACUUAUAUCGCCUAGCUUUAACAUCAUUCCCAUUAACUGAGAAUUUGACUUUGCCCUCGUUGUCCGAUUUAUGAAGAAUUCUUGUAGCGUCUGGUGCAGACUUAACAACUUGAGCAAACAGUGAUUGAUCAUUCGGAUGAACAGGCUUCUUCAUAAAGAUUGACUCUAUACAACAACAACAACAACAACAACAAAGCCUUUUCCCACUAAGUGGGGUCGGCUAUAUGAAUCCUAGAACGCCAUUGCGCUCGGUUUUGUGUCAUGUCCUCCGUUAGAUCCAAGUAUUCUAAGUCUUUUCUUAGAGUCUCUUCCAAAGUUGUCCUAGGUCUUCCUCUACCCCUUCGGCCCUGAACCUCUGUCCCGUAGUCACAUCUUCGAACCGGAGCGUCAGUCGGCCUUCUUUGCACAUGUUCAAAAUCACCGGAGCCGAUUUUCUCUCAUAUUUCCUACAAUUUCGGCUACUCCUACUUUACCUCGGAUAUCCUCAUUCCCAAUCUUAUCCUUUCUCGUGUGCCCACACAUCCCACGAAGCAUCCUCCUCAUCUCCGCUACACCCCAUUUUGUGUACGUGUUGAUGCUUCACCACCCAACAUUCUGUGCCAUACAACAUCGCUAGCCUUAUUGUCGUCCUAUAAAAUUUUCCCUUGAGCUUCAGUGGCCUACGACGGUCACACAACACGCCGGAUGCACUCUUUCCAUCCAGCUCGUAUUCUAUGGUUGAGAUCUCCAUCUAAUUCUCCGUUCUCUUACAAGAUAGAUCCUAGGUAGCGAAAACGAUCGCUUUUUGUGAUCUUCGCUAGAUUGCUCCGGUCAUUAGUGUGGAUAAGUAUAUAAAUGGAUAGAGAUAGGAAAGCAAACACAAGAUGUACGUGGUUCACCCAGAUUGGCUACGUCCACGGAAUAGAAGAAGAGUUCUCAUUAAUUGUGAAGGGUUUUACACAAGUACAUAGGUUCAAGCUCUCAUUUAGUGAGUACAAGUGAAUGAUUUAGUACAAAUGACAUUAGGAAAUAUUGUGGGAGAAUGAUCUCAUAAUCACGAAACUUCUAAGUAUCGGAGUGUAGUGUCGUCUUGACUUGCCUUAUCUGUCUCAUAGGUAGAUGUGGCAUCUUCUCUGGAAGUACUCUUCCUCCAUCCAGGGGUGGUAUCUUUAACUGGUGGAGAUGCACAAGGUAAUGUAUCAAUUUCACUUGAAGCUUACUUGUAGUUUCAGGCUUGGUCAAGCGCGAUACAAACCAUGUAGUAGGAGUCCCCCAAGUCGCCGAGCUAGGGGGUCUGCUGAAAG